rnacentral:rRNA from 1 species
UACGUAGGGUGCAAGCGUUAAUCGGAAUUACUGGGCGUAAAGCGUGCGCAGGCGGUUAGGUAAGACAGGUGUGAAAUCCCGGGGCUCAACCUCGGAACUGCCUUUGAUACUGCAAAUCUCGAGUCCGGAAGAGGUGAGUGGAAUUCCUAGUGUAGAGGUGAAAUUCGUAGAUAUUAGGAAGAACACCAGUGGCGAAGGCGGCUCACUGGUCCGGUACUGACGCUGAGGUGCGAAAGCGUGGGGAGCAAACAGG